CCAGCGCCCCCUGACGGGCGGCGCCCGCGCGGAGGGACAGCCGCGCUCGGGCCUGGGAGCGACUGCGCUCGGCCCCCUUUGUUCCCAGGGCAGGAAAGACAAAGGCUCCUGCAUUCACUCAGGGAGACAGUAGUACAAGUGUUGGUUGCCUGGCCAGUAGGUGGAUCUUGAUCAUAUGUCACCUCAGCACCCAACGGUUGACAUGCAACUACUUGUUACCAAGCAAGAGAAGUUUCUUACAGUGCCCAGUUGCCUGCCUGUAAAUUAGUGCUUGUUUAAACACAAACAUGGAACGUCACAGUUUUAGUUCUUCAUAGUUUUCACCUGAAAGCGAGCUGUUAGUGGUUCUCCAGUAUGUGGCAUGUUUUAGCCUGAGGACUCUGAUGGAGCCAGCUGAAUUGGAGAGACUUGAACAAGUAACAGAGCACAUCACUGCAAGAGAGGUAUUCAAUUCUCCUCCUUGUCUCCUCACUGAUGGCUGCAAGCUGAUGGUGAGACAGACGUUUUUUGGAAGAACUGUGGUGCUGGAUUGCCUCAGCCACCUUGCAUGGUUUGGUGAUGCAGCUGAGCUCAUCAAAUAUCUCAGGUAAAGAAUGUACUGAGCCCAUCUAAUGCCCUAUUGAAACAAUGGCCUUGACAGGAGCUGUGCAUUCCCAACCAAGUAUUUCUUUGAACUGGCUUUGGCUCCUUUGACCACAGAUUUAGCUGAUUCAACAGCAGGAUAUUUACUUGUAUUAGCUGCUAGUAUGUCACCUUGCUUUAUCAUGAACACAUGAGAUGUAACAAAAAAGCAGCAGGAACACACAGCUGGAAGCAGGGAACUGGAGAUGACAAUGGGGAAAUAACUCCUGAAGGCAGAGAGCCAUUCAGAGGUCUUUUCCUUAUCAUCUAACCCCACCUUGAAUGUUACCUCUGGUAUCAGUCACCUGGGUUGAUAAGCCCCUGCAGUAUCUCCUGCGAUAGAACUGGGUCCAAAUUCCCAGAAGUAUCCCUCAGGUGUUACUUAGGGAGAAGUAAAGAGUGCAUGUUAGCACUGAUAAUUAGUUUAGCUGGCCCAACCCAGCUUUUCCUGUGUUGCAAAGGAGCUGAAAGGUUUGCAAGAGGAGUUGUGUUGAUUGUACCGAUGAAGACACUUCUGAUGGUAAUUUGCAGGCCGUUGUGUUUUUAUUGUGUGAAAGCUGAUUUGGAAAUGUACGUCUUGAAAUCUGUAGAAAGCAUGUGUCAUCUGUGUAUUUUGCAUUCCACUUGUGCAGAUAUCAAGCACCUCUAGCAAGUUGCUCCAGCUCAAAACAUCACUCCCUUCUGCUGUUGACAGAACUUUCUUAGCAAAAGUUACUGCCUUUGCAACACAAGUUGGAGGGAUCACAAAAAAAAAAUCAACCCACAUCUCAGUUCUCAGUCUGGCAUGUUAAACUGUUACUCCAAGGAUUGUAUCCAAGGGACAACACAGCAUGGGCGUGCAUUCCUCUUUGGUGACACAGACAGGAAAGGACAACUGUCUCUGGAAAAGCAGAAGCCUCAAAUAGCUGGGGAGCAGUAUUGUCAUACAUACUGGAAACGUGCACACAGACCAAGAGUCUUUCAGGUCCAUGCAGCCAUACAAUUAUUUUAUGCAAGACCAAAAUGAUGACUGCAGUGAACUAAGGAAACUUUAUAGUUUUAUCUGUGUUUUAUGUAUGCAUAUCAACUUUCCAUUUUUACUAGGUUUUAGUUCCAGUUUUCAAUGCUAGCAAUGCAUCUCUAGAGCUCCGUGUCUCUGGCUUCUACUAAAAUCCCAUCCUGCCAAGCCAUUUUUGCCGCAAAGCCUUUGCAGAGGUUUGAUUCAUUUUAUCAUUCCUAGCCUGCAAAUGUGAAGUCCUGUUAGACAAUAAGGACAUCACAUCACAAAAUAAUUUCCUUAGACAUCUUUGCAUGCACUGAUUUACAUCCAUUUUUAAAAGGAAACUCCAAACACGGGGGACUUGCAUAUCUUACUUUUACACUCAAUAAAAACACUGAGAAUACUCAACUACAAGAUAUUUAAAUCCUGGCUUGCUUAGGAACAACUAACUGAUUAGAAAAUUAACCAGCCUUUAAAAAUAAUAUCCCAAUGAUAUGACGCCCAGUGAAUUACUAUAGGCUAUCAAACGAGUAAAGCUUCUUCAUAGAAGCAAAACCACCUGAUGUAGCACAGACUGGUUCAGCUAAAUACAGCACACUGAAAAAUAGGACAAACACACAAUAUACUUUCCAAAGAUCUUCCCUUAAUACAGGGGACAAGGGAAAUAGAGUUGCUAGUCCACAGGAGGCUGCAGAGGCAGGAAACAAGCUGCUGCAGCUCAGAGCAAGCCAGCCUCCCAGAGAAUUCAAGACCACUUAUAGGCACAUAAAUAUGUUGUGGAGUGCUUGAGAAACUCCUUGAAAGCUUAUGUCUGAGAUGCUUUCUCAUCAUUUCGUUUGUGUGAAACCUUCUUCAAAACCUGCCUUCCGACGCUGCGUGUGUGGACGUCACAUGGGGACUAUUCAAAGAGGCGCCUCCCGCCCCGCUCUGCUUCCCUCAGUCCUGCUCCUAGCCGUGCGGUGUCACUAUUCUCCGUUGUCCCAGCACGAAAACUUGA